rnacentral:rRNA from 1 species
UACGUAGGGUCCAAGCGUUAUCCGGAUUUACUGGGUGUAAAGGGCGAGUAGACGGCGUUACAAGUCAGAUGUGAAAACUUGGGGCUCAACCUCAAGACUGCAUCUGAAACUGUAAUGCUAGAGUGCAGGAGAGGAAAGUGGAAUUCCUAGUGUAGCGGUGAAAUGCGUAGAUAUUAGGAGGAACACCAGUGGCGAAGGCGACUUUCUGGACUGUAACUGACGUUGAGGCGCGAAAGUGUGGGGAGCAAACAGG